GUGCUCGCUUUGGCAGCACAUGUACUGAAAUUAGAAGGAUACAGAGAAGAUUAGCAUAGACUCUGCACAAGGAUAACAUGCAAAUUCAUGAAGUGUUCCAUAUUUUU